GACGAACGCUGGCGGCGCGCCUAACACAUGCAAGUCGAGCGAAGCGGCGGACGGGUGAGUAACACGUGAGUAACCUGCCUCAGACAUUGGGUUAGCCUCGGCAAACCGGGUUUAAUACACAAUGGUCUAAGAUGGACUCGCGUCGCAUUCUCAAGUUGGUGAGGUAACGUGCCACCAAGGCGACGAUGGGUAGCCGGCAUGAGAGAGUGAACGGACACAUUGGAGCUGGGAAACGGUCCAAACUCUGCGUGAGGCGUGAGUGGGGAAUAUUGCACAAUGGAGUGAGCUAUGAUGCAGCGACGCCGGUUGAACGAAGAAGGCUGUCGGGGCGUAAAGUUCUUUUAUAUGUGGAGCGGUACCAUAAGAAUAAGCCCCGGCUAACUACGUGCCAGCAGCCGCGGUAAUUC
rnacentral:rRNA from 1 species